UACGAAGGGUGCAAGCGUUACUCGGAAUUACUGGGCGUAAAGCGUGCGUAGGCGGUUUGUUAAGUCCGCUGUGAAAGCCCUGGGCUCAACCUGGGAAUUGCAGUGGAUACUGGCAAGCUAGAGUGCGGUAGAGGAUGGUGGAAUUCCCGGUGUAGCGGUGAAAUGCGUAGAUAUCUGAAGGAACAUCAGUGGCGAAAGCGACCUCCUGGACCAAUACUGACGCUCAGGUGCGAAAGCGUGGGGAGCGAGUCCGG
rnacentral:rRNA from 1 species